rnacentral:miRNA from 1 species
CCGAGAGCUGAAGCUGGUGGUUCCCAGUAAGUAGCUCAAUAGUCAGGAUGGCAGCAGGUCAUCGGC